CCUACGGGUGGCAGCAGUAGGGAAUCUUCCACAAUGGACGAAAGUCUGAUGGAGCAACGCCGCGUGAGUGAAGAAGGGUUUCGGCUCGUAAAGCUCUGUUGGUAGUGAAGAAAGAGAGAGGUAGUAACUGGCCUUCAUUUGACGGUAACUACUUAGAAAGCCACGGCUAACUACGUGCCAGCAGCCGCGGUAAUACGUAGGUGGCAAGCGUUGUCCGGAUUUAUUGGGCGUAAAGCGAGUGCAGGCGGUUUGAUAAGUCUGAUGUGAAAGCCCUCGGCUCAACCGGGGAAUUGCAUCAGAAACUGGUGGACUUGAGUGCAGAAGAGGAGAGUGGAACUCCAUGUGUAGCGGUGGAAUGCGUAGAGAUAUGGAAGAACACCAGUGGCGAAGGCGGCUCUCUGGUCUGCAACUGACGCUGAGGCUCGAAAGCAUGGGGAGCGAACAGGAUUAGAUACCCCAGUAGUC
rnacentral:rRNA from 1 species